rnacentral:rRNA from 1 species
GGCCUGGGGGGCGGGCUACCAUGCAGUCGAGCGGUAGCACAGAGAGCUUGCUCUCGGGUGACGAGCGGCGGACGGGUGAGUAAUGUCUGGGAAACUGCCUGAUGGAGGGGGAUAACUACUGGAAACGGUAGCUAAUACCGCAUAACGUCGCAAGACCAAAGUGGGGGACCUUCGGGCCUCAUGCCAUCAGAUGUGCCCAGAUGGGAUUAGCUAGUAGGUGGGGUAACGGCUCACCUAGGCGACGAUCCCUAGCUGGUCUGAGAGGAUGACCAGCCACACUGGAACUGAGACACGGUCCAGACUCCUACGGGAGGCAGCAGUGGGGAAUAUUGCACAAUGGGCGCAAGCCUGAUGCAGCCAUGCCGCGUGUAUGAAGAAGGCCUUCGGGUUGUAAAGUACUUUCAGCGGGGAGGAAGGCGAUAAGGUUAAUAACCUUGUCGAUUGACGUUACCCGCAGAAGAAGCACCGGCUAACUCCGUGCCAGCAGCCGCGGUAAUACGGAGGGUGCAAGCGUUAAUCGGAAUUACUGGGCGUAAAGCGCACGCAGGCGGUCUGUCAAGUCGGAUGUGAAAUCCCCGGGCUCAACCUGGGAACUGCAUUCGAAACUGGCAGGCUAGAGUCUUGUAGAGGGGGGUAGAAUUCCAGGUGUAGCGGUGAAAUGCGUAGAGAUCUGGAGGAAUACCGGUGGCGAAGGCGGCCCCCUGGACAAAGACUGACGCUCAGGUGCGAAAGCGUGGGGAGCAAACAGGAUUAGAUACCCUGGUAGUCCACGCCGUAAACGAUGUCGAUUUGGAGGUUGUGCCCUUGAGGCGUGGCUUCCGGAGCUAACGCGUUAAAUCGACCGCCUGGGGAGUACGGCCGCAAGGUUAAAACUCAAAUGAAUUGACGGGGGCCCGCACAAGCGGUGGAGCAUGUGGUUUAAUUCGAUGCAACGCGAAGAACCUUACCUGGUCUUGACAUCCACAGAACUUAGCAGAGAUGCUUUGGUGCCUUCGGGAACUGUGAGACAGGUGCUGCAUGGCUGUCGUCAGCUCGUGUUGUGAAAUGUUGGGUUAAGUCCCGCAACGAGCGCAACCCUUAUCCUUUGUUGCCAGCGGUUAGGCCGGGAACUCAAAGGAGACUGCCAGUGAUAAACUGGAGGAAGGUGGGGAUGACGUCAAGUCAUCAUGGCCCUUACGACCAGGGCUACACACGUGCUACAAUGGCAUAUACAAAGAGAAGCGACCUCGCGAGAGCAAGCGGACCUCAUAAAGUAUGUCGUAGUCCGGAUUGGAGUCUGCAACUCGACUCCAUGAAGUCGGAAUCGCUAGUAAUCGUAGAUCAGAAUGCUACGGUGAAUACGUUCCCGGGCCUUGUACACACCGCCCGUCACACCAUGGGAGUGGGUUGCAAAAGAAGUAGGUAGCUUAA